GUGGACGCGGAACCGCGUGCUUUGAUACCGGAUAUCACUCGCGAGUGUCAAAGCGCGGCUGACAAACGCGAUCGGCUCGACACGUUGCGUCAUUCUCGCGUUUUUUAAUUCCUUAAAAGUGUCGCGACUGUAUAAUGAGGCGCGACAUAUAUAAAUACGGGAGCGUGAAUUUACUCCGACGCAUUUGCAAGCUCGUGAACUGCAGUCGAAGACACUUUCAUAUACGCUUCCACUUGACUCCAGGAGUUGAUAGCCACUUAUACACAGAUUGAAACAGUAAUAAUUAUACAAGUCGGAUCUAAUCACGAUGUGAUCGCAGAUAGUGGAUCUCCUACUCACCUUAAGAAAUAGCAUCUUGAUAUUGACCAAGGAUAAUUAUCAGGAUAAUUGUCAUAUGUCCAAAGCGGUUGUGGAUCAGCGCUGGGUUGUGGUUCAGGAUCAGCGCUGGGAUUUGCUUCAGCAACAACUCCAUUAGACAUAAUCAAUCCCAGCAAAGCCAAAUUCAGGAACAAUUGGAGUAAAAAUGAAAUUAUCUUCAUGUUUUAUGAUUUAUAGUUAAAUAACUAUCACAAUAUUGCUAACUUCGAUUUGGAUUCUCCUGAACUAAACUGAAAAAAGAUCUACAUACCGACAGGUAUAUAUACCACCAAGAGAAUAUCUAUUAAAAUUCAUUAAGGUAUUGAUAAAUCCA